GACGAACGCUGGCGGCGCGCCUAAUACAUGCAAGUAGAACGCUGAAGAGAGGAGCUUGCUCUUCUUGGAUGAGUUGCGAACGGGUGAGUAACGCGUAGGUAACCUGCCUUGUAGCGGGGGAUAACUAUUGGAAACGAUAGCUAAUACCGCAUAACAAUGGAUGACACAUGUCAUUUAUUUGAAAGGGGCAAUUGCUCCACUACAAGAUGGACCUGCGUUGUAUUAGCUAGUAGGUGAGGUAAUGGCUCACCUAGGCGACGAUACAUAGCCGACCUGAGAGGGUGAUCGGCCACACUGGGACUGAGACACGGCCCAGACUCCUACGGGAGGCAGCAGUAGGGAAUCUUCGGCAAUGGGGGCAACCCUGACCGAGCAACGCCGCGUGAGUGAAGAAGGUUUUCGGAUCGUAAAGCUCUGUUGUAAGUCAAGAACGGGUGUGAGAGUGGAAAGUUCACACUGUGACGGUAGCUUACCAGAAAGGGACGGCUAACUACGUG
rnacentral:rRNA from 1 species